rnacentral:rRNA from 1 species
AGUCGAACGANACGGNUCUAGCUUGCUAGACUNUCAGCUAAGUGCCGACCGGGUGAGUUAAUGUAUAGUUUAUUUGCCCCUUUAGGAGAGGGAUACCAGUGGAAACGACUGCUAAUACCUCAUACCCNUUCUACUUAAUGGUAGUGGGAAAUGUUUUUCGCUUAAGGGAAUGAGACCUAUAUGGUAUCAGGUAGUUGGGUGGGGUAAGACCCUACCCAAGCCCUUAUGACCGCCCUAGCUGGUUCUGAGAAGGAUUGAUCCAGCCCACCCCUGGAACUGAGACCACGUUCCAGACCUCUUACGGGAGGCAGCAGUGGGGAAUAUUGCCACAAUGGGAGGAAACUCCUGAUGCAGCAACGCCCGCGUGGAGGAUGACCGCAUUUCGGUGUGUAAACUCCUUUUAUAUGGGAAGAUAAUGACGGUACCCAUAUGAAUAAGCACCGGCUAACUCCGUGCCAGCAGCCGCGGUAAUACGGAGGGUGCAAGCGUUACUCGGAAUCACUGGGCGUAAAGCGCGCGCAGGCGGCUAUUUAAGUUGGAUGUGAAAGCCUACGGCUCAACCGUAGAACUGCAUCCAAAACUAUUUAGCUAGAGUGUGGGAGAGGAAGAUGGAAUUAGUUGUGUAGGGGUAAAAUCCGUAGAGAU